UACGUAGGGUGCAAGCGUUGUCCGGAUUUAUUGGGCGUAAAGAGCUCGUAGGCGGCUUGUCGCGUCGAAUGUGAAAUCUCAGGGCUCAACUCUGACAUUGCAUUCGAUACGGGCAGGCUAGAGUUCGGUAGGGGAGACUGGAAUUCCUGGUGUAGCGGUGAAAUGCGCAGAUAUCAGGAGGAACACCGGUGGCGAAGGCAGAUCUCUGGGCCGUAACUGACGCUGAGGAGCGAAAGCGUGGGGAGCGAACAGG
rnacentral:rRNA from 1 species